AGAAGCUCUUGGGAGAAUGUGGGGAGUUGUGGCCGCUUCUGAGCUGACACUAACUGCUUAUGACUCCUCUGUGGGAAAAGUAGGUGGUUUCCUGAGGAAGUAGGUUGGGUAAUGAAGACACAGAGAUUUGCUGAUGCAUUUGCUAGGCACGACUUCUGAUCGUUUAGAAAGCUAUUUUGUGGCUUCAUCAAUAAGGCAUUCUCCAGCACUGUUACUCCUUCCCAUUGCCAUCUCUUCCCUUGGAAUUGAAGGCUUCCUGCUCUGAGGCAAGGAAAGUUAUUUCUUCACUGACAGCCCUGGUCUCUGGCUGCAAUAAUGAGCAGAGGAAAUGAAGAAAUAAGAAUGUGGAAGCAUAAUCAUUUGUCCGAGGUCACAGAGGGAGAUGAUCACGCAGCUGGAAUGUAAGCCACAGUACUUUACUGAAUCCUUGGCUUUGUGCAUGGACCCAGCUACGGGCAUAAAGCUUUUCUCUUCCCUAGUGACUUCGAGUACCAGCUUUCAGAUUUGUCUGACGUUGAAUCUAAGCUUUGUGACCAGUAUUUAGCAGAAGAAGAAGGGGAGGAAUUACUUAUCCUUUAGCAUACAUUAGCAUGCUAAUAGAUCCUUUCUCUGCAUUGCGGAAGGGUCUGAAAUGAUCACAUAUACAAUGUGUCUUUUAUCAAUGGCCUUGAAUACAAAUAUUACAUUGAUGAAUCCAUAUUUAGAGGCCUUCUCCAAACAUUUACAUGGUUUCUUUUUCUUAGGAUUAGAACUUCUACCUAUUGUCAUUUUAGCAAAAAAGAUCACAAAUUAUUCAUUAUUUACACAUUUAUCAUCUCUUCCAAAUGUUUUAAUGUGGUUUACAUUAUAUACAUGUACACAAUAAAUCUUUACAUUUAAAUAUAAAGUUA